GGUGUGGAGGCCUGGAAUGGUUCCACGCCCAAAGGCACGGCGAUCAUGUUUGUCGUGUGCCCGAGGAUGGGGCUGCGGCUGAUCAGGCAGUUGGCGAGGUAACGGCUCACCAAACCUUUGACCAGUACGGGCCAUGAAAGUGGUAGCCCGGAGAUGGGCACUGAGACAGGGGCCCAGGCCCUACGGGGCGCAGCAGGCGCGAAAACUCCACAAUGUACGGAAGUACGAUGGGGUUAUCUCGAGUGCAGUCCGAUAAGGGCUGCUUUUCCAUAGAGUAAUAUCCUGUGGGAAUAAGAGGGGGGCAAGACUGGUGUCAGCCGCCGCGGUAACACCAGCCCCUCGAGUGGUGGGGGCUAUUAUUUGGCCUAAAGCGUCCGUAGCUGGCUGUAUCCGUCCCCCGUUAAAUCCAGCGUCCUAAGCGUUGGACUGCGGGUGAUACCAUACAGCUAGAGGGUGGGAUAGGUGAGCGGUAUUUCUGGGGUAGGGGCGAAAUCCUUUGAUCCCAGGAGGACCACCAGUGGCGAAGGCUGCUCACUAGAACACGCCUGACGGUCAGGGACGAAAGCUGGGGCAGCGAACCGGAUUAGAUACCCGGGUAGUCCCAGCUGUAAACGAUGCUAGCUAGGUGUUGGGUCGGCCACGUGCCGCCCCAGUGCCGCAGGGAAGCCGUUAAGCUAGCCGCCUGGGGAGUACGGCCGCAAGGCUGAAACUUAAAGGAAUUGGCGGGGGAGCACCACCAGGCGUGAAGCCUGCGGUUUAAUUGGAGUCAACGCCGGAAAUCUUACCGGGAUCGACAGCAGAGUGAAGGCCAGAUUGAAGGUCUUGCUAGACGAGCUGAGAGGAGGUGCAUGGCCAUCGCCAGUUCGUGCCGUGAGGUGUCCUCUUAAAUGAGGUAACGAACGAGACCCCCACCCCAUGUUGCCAUCAGGAUCUAAAAGGUCGCUGGGCACUCUUGGGGGACCGCUGCCGACAAGGCUGAGGAAGGUGGGGGCCACGGUAGGUCAGUAUGCCCCGAAUAUCCCGGGCCACACGCGGGCUGCAAUGGUAGGGACAGAGGGCUGCAACCCGCCCUCGUGAACAUGGAAUGCCUAGUAACCGCGCGUCAUCAUCGCGCAGUGAAUACGUCCCUGCUCCUCGCACACACUGCCCGUCGAACCACCCGAAUGAGUUUCGGGUGAGGCGUGAUCGUAUGUUGGUCGCGUCGAACCUGGGGCUCGUAAGGAGGGUUAAGUCGUAACAAGGUGGCCGUACCGGAAGGUGCGGCCG
rnacentral:rRNA from 1 species